AGAGUUUGAUCCUGGGCUCAGAGUGAACGCUGGCGGCAGGCCUAAUACAUGCAAGUCGAACGGCAGCACAGCAGAGCUUGCUCUGUGGGUGGCGAGUGGCGGACGGGUGAGGAAUACGUGGGAAUCUGCCCAGUCGUGGGGGAUAACGUAGGGAAACUUACGCUAAUACCGCAUGCGCCCUUCGGGGGAAAGCCGGGGACCUUCGGGCCUGGCGCGAUUGGAUGAGCCCACGUCGGAUUAGCUAGUUGGCGGGGUAAAGGCCCACCAAGGCGACGAUCCGUAGCUGGUCUGAGAGGAUGAUCAGCCACACUGGAACUGAGACACGGUCCAGACUCCUACGGGAGGCAGCAGUAGGGAAUAUUGGACAAUGGGCGCAAGCCUGAUCCAGCCAUGCCGCGUGAGUGAAGAAGGCCCUCGGGUUGUAAAGCUCUUUUGUCCGGAAAGAAAAGCGCCGGGUUAAUACCCUGGUGUCCUGACGGUACCGGAAGAAUAAGCACCAGCUAACUUCGUG
rnacentral:rRNA from 1 species